rnacentral:misc_RNA from 1 species
GUAGGUGAACCUGCGGAAGGAUCAUUACCUUUCAAUGCAGCAGAAUUGGGAUGGUUGAGUAUCUCGCCUUCCAAUUCUGCCUGUAUUCCACCCUUGUUUGUCAUACUAUUAUUUCCUCGGCAGGCUUGCCUGCCGAGUGAAACCAAUUAUAACCUAUUUAAUUUUCAAUCAGCGUCUGAAAAAAAUUAAUAAUUACAACUUUCAACAACGGAUCUCUUGGUUCUG